rnacentral:rRNA from 1 species
AACGAACGCUGGCGGCAUGCCUAACACAUGCAAGUCGAACGAGACCUUCGGGUCUAGUGGCGCACGGGUGCGUAACGCGUGGGAACCUGCCCUUAGGUUCGGAAUAACUCCCCGAAAGGGGUGCUAAUACCGGAUAAUUUCUUCGGACCAAAGAUUUAUCGCCUUUGGAUGGGCCCGCGUUGGUUUAGCUAGUUGGUAGGGUAAAAGCCUACCAAGGCGACGAUCCAUAGCUGGUCUGAGAGGAUGAUCAGCCACACUGGGACUGAGACACGGCCCAGACUCCUACGGGAGGCAGCAGUGGGGAAUAUUGGACAAUGGGCGAAAGCCUGAUCCAGCAAUGCCGCGUGAGUGAUGAAGGCCUUAGGGUUGUAAAGCUCUAUUACCCGGGAUGAUAAUGACAGUACCGGGAGAAUAAGCGCCGGCUAACUCCGUG